rnacentral:rRNA from 1 species
GCCAAUGGCACUGCCCGGUAGCUAAAUGCGGAAGAGAUAAGUGCUGAAAGCAUCUAAGCACGAAACUUGCCCCGAGAUGAGUUCUCCCUGACUCCUUGAGAGUCCUGAAGGAACGUUGAAGACGACGACGUUGAUAGGCCGGGUGUGUAAGCGCAGCGAUGCGUUGAGCUAACCGGUACUAAUGAACCGUGAGGCUUAACCUUACAACGCCGAAGGUGUUU